rnacentral:tRNA from 1 species
GCCUUCGUGGUGUAGUGGUCAGCACGCUGGGUGCGUAUUCCAGAGGUCCGUGGUUCGAGUCCUGGAGAAGGCG